rnacentral:rRNA from 1 species
CCUACGGGAGGCAGCAGUGAGGAAUAUUGGACAAUGGGCGCAAGCCUGAUCCAGCCAUGCCGCGUGCAGGAUGAAGCAUCUAUGGUGUGUAAACUGCUUUUAUACAGGAAGAAACCUCCCGACGUGUCGGGAAUUGACGGUACUGUAAGAAUAAGGAUCGGCUAACUCCGUGCCAGCAGCCGCGGUAAUACGGAGGAUCCAAGCGUUAUCCGGAAUCAUUGGGUUUAAAGGGUCCGUAGGCGGGCCAGUAAGUCAGUGGUGAAAUCUCUCCGCUCAACGGGGAAAUGGCCAUUGAUACUGCUGGUCUUGAAUUAUUAGGAAGUAACUAGAAUAUGUAGUGUAGCGGUGAAAUGCUUAGAGAUUACAUGGAAUACCAAUUGCGAAGGCAGGUUACUACUAAUGGAUUGACGCUGAUGGACGAAAGCGUGGGUAGCGAACAGGAUUAGAUACCCUGGUAGUCCACGCCGUAAACGAUGGAUACUAGCUGUUGGGGGUCAACUUCAGUGGCUAAGCGAAAGUGAUAAGUAUCCCACCUGGGGAGUACGUUCGCAAGAAUGAAACUUAAAGGAAUUGACGGCUGGAGAGNGCGACGACGACGACGAGGGAGGAGG